rnacentral:tRNA from 1 species
GCCUGGGUGGCUCAGUCGGUUGAGCAUCCGACUUCGGCUCAGAUGAUGAUCUCACAGUCUGUGGGUUCGAGCCCCGCGUCAGGCU